rnacentral:tRNA from 1 species
AUUUAAAUAGCUUAAGGUAAGAGCGUAACUUUGAAGAAGUUAAUGUGAUUUUAAAUCUUUAAAUA